CAGCAGCCGCGGUAAUACGUAGGGUGCGAGCGUUAAUCGGAAUUACUGGGCGUAAAGCGUGCGCAGGCGGUUCGUUAAGACAGAUGUGAAAUCCCCGGGCUUAACCUGGGAACUGCAUUUGUGACUGGCGGGCUAGAGUAUGGCAGAGGGGGGUAGAAUUCCACGUGUAGCAGUGAAAUGCGUAGAGAUGUGGAGGAACACCGAUGGCGAAGGCAGCCCCCUGGGCCAAUACUGACGCUCAUGCACGAAAGCGUGGGGAGCAAACAGGAUUAGAUACCCCUGUAGUCCCUGUCUCUUAUAC
rnacentral:rRNA from 1 species